CCUACGGGUGGCAGCAGUGGGGAAUAUUGGGCAAUGGCGGCAACUCUUACCCAGCAAUGCCGCGUGAAUGAAGAAGGUCUCCGGAUUGUAAAGUUCUUUAAUUGGGGACGAAAAAAAUACGGUUCCCAAAGAAUUAGCCCCGGCUAAACACGUUCCACCAGCCGCGGUAAUACGUAGGGGGCAAGGGUUGGUCGGAAUGGCUGGGCGUAAAGGGUGUGUAGGCGGUGUAGCAAGUUAGAAGUUAAAUACCUAGAGCUUAACUCAGGUGCUGCUUCUAAAACUGCUAUACUUGAGUGCAGUAGAGGAAAGUGGAAUUCCUAGUGUAGCGGUGGAAUGCGUAGAUAUUAGGAGGAACAUCAGUGGCGAAGGCGACUUUCUGGACUGUAACUGACGCUGAGGCACGAAAGUGUGGGGAGCAAACAGGAUUAGAUACCCUAGUAGUC
rnacentral:rRNA from 1 species